rnacentral:rRNA from 1 species
AGAGUUUGAUCAUGGCUCAGGACGAACGCUGGCGGCGUGCCUAAUACAUGCAAGUCGAGCGCGGGAAGCAAGCUGAUCCCUUCGGGGUGACGCUUGUGGAACGAGCGGCGGACGGGUGAGUAACACGUGGGCAACCUGCCCUGUAGAUUGGGAUAACUUCGGGAAACCGGGGCUAAUACCGAAUAAUCAAAGUGCUCGCAUGAGCACCUUGUAAAAGUUGGGUUUCUAACACUACAGGAUGGGCCCGCGGCGCAUUAGCUAGUUGGUAAGGUAACGGCUUACCAAGGCAACGAUGCGUAGCCGACCUGAGAGGGUGAUCGGCCACACUGGGACUGAGACACGGCCCAGACUCCUACGGGAGGCAGCAGUAGGGAAUCUUCCGCAAUGGACGAAAGUCUGACGGAGCAACGCCGCGUGAGUGAUGAAGGUUUUCGGAUCGUAAAGCUCUGUUGUGAGGGAAGAACAAGUACCGUUCGAUAAGGGCGGUACCGUGACGGUACCUCACCAGAAAGCCACGGCUAACUACGUGCCAGCAGCCGCGGUAAUACGUAGGUGGCAAGCGUUGUCCGGAAUUAUUGGGCGUAAAGCGCGCGCAGGCGGUUCUCUAAGUCUGAUGUGAAAGCCCACGGCUCAACCGUGGAGGGCCAUUGGAAACUGGGGAACUUGAGUGCAGGAGAGGAGAGUGGAAUUCCACAUGUAGCGGUGAAAUGCGUAGAGAUGUGGAGGAACACCAGUGGCGAAGGCGACUCUCUGGCCUGAUACUGACGCUGAGGCGCGAAAGCGUGGGGAGCGAACAGGAUUAGAUACCCUGGUAGUCCACGCCGUAAACGAUGAGUGCUAGGUGUUAGGGGGGCCACCCCUUAGUGCUGAAGUUAACACAUUAAGCACUCCGCCUGGGAGUACGACCGCAAGGUUGAAACUCAAAGGAAUUGACGGGGACCCGCACAAGCGGUGGAGCAUGUGGUUUAAUUCGACGCAACGCGAAGAACCUUACCAGGUCUUGACAUCCUCUGCCGGUUCUAGAGAUAGAGCUUUUCCCCUUCGGGGGACAGAGUGACAGGUGGUGCAUGGUUGCCGUCAGCUCGUGUCGUGAGAUGUUGGGUUAAGUCCCGCAACGAGCGCAACCCUUGACCUUAGUUGCCAGCAUUCAGUUGGGCACUCUAAGGUGACUGCCGGUGACAAACCGGAGGAAGGUGGGGAUGACGUCAAAUCAUCAUGCCCCUUAUGACCUGGGCUACACACAUGCUACAAUGGAUGGUACAAAGGGCUGCGAGACCGCGAGGUUUAGCCAAUCCCAUAAAGCCAUUCUCAGUUCGGAUUGCAGGCUGCAACUCGCCUGCAUGAAGCCGGAAUCGCUAGUAAUCGUGGAUCAGCAUGCCACGGUGAAUACGUUCCCGGGUCUUGUACACACCGCCCGUCACACCACGAGAGUUCGUAACACCCGAAGUCGGUGGGGUAACCUUUCGGAGCCAGCCGCCGAAGGUGGGACGAAUGAUUGGGGUGAAGUCGUAACAAGGUAGCCGUA